GACGAACGCUGGCGGCGUGCCUAAUACAUGCAAGUAGAACGCUGAAGGAGGAGCUUGCUUCUCUGGAUGAGUUGCGAACGGGUGAGUAACGCGUAGGUAACCUGCCUGGUAGCGGGGGAUAACUAUUGGAAACGAUAGCUAAUACCGCAUAAUAGCAGUUGUUGCAUGACAACUGUUUGAAAGGUGCAAUUGCACCACUACCAGAUGGACCUGCGUUGUAUUAGCUAGUUGGUGGGGUAACGGCUCACCAAGGCGACGAUACAUAGCCGGCCUGGGAAGGGUAACGGCCACACUGGGACGGAGAAACGGCCCAGACUCCUACGGGAGGCAGCAGUAGGGAAUCUUCGGCAAAGGACGGAAGUCUGACCGAGCAACGCCGCGUGAGUGAAGAAGGGUUUCGGAUCGUAAAGCUCUGUUGUAAGGGAAGAACGAGUGUGAGAGGGGAAAGUUCACACUGUGACGGUAUCUUACCAGAAAGGGACGGCUAACUACGUG
rnacentral:rRNA from 1 species